GAGGGUGUAGCUCAGUGGCCAAGUAUGUGCUUGGCAUGCACAAGGUCCUGGGUUCAAUCCCCAGUACCUCCA
rnacentral:tRNA from 1 species